AAAGCCAUGUGCAUUUACUUAAUUAAUUAUGGGAUGUCCUUGGGUGGGUUUCCUGCAUUCCCUUUCCGCACUUGGGGGGAAAGGUGUGGGGGUAAGGAAGGAUUACAGAGUGGAGGAUCAAGCAGGAUGGGUUCAAGAACCACAGUGAAUCCUUCCAGAAACGGCGUCGUAUCUAAAUUGGGUUGCAGUUUUAUAGUGUGUGUGUGACCAUUUAUCUUUCAUUUCGGGAGUCGUAGUUAGCUCUUAACCACCAAGCUCGGGCGGCUCAGUAUGUCACGGCACCGUCCUAAUCCCACCCUGGAUCAGCGUAACAGCGCACAUCGGAAAUCAACUGUGGAAGUCAAGGCCAGAAAUCACUCACUAUAUCAUCUGAUAUUCCUCUGAUCGUUAUACCUAUUCUCAGUGUUAAGGAAAUGAGACCAGUUGAAACGUCCACAUUAAAAUAAGAAGAAGGAGAGAAGGUUUUCUAAUUGCAGUUAAUGUCAUCGUUAAAUAAAGAAUGCCAUAAAGGAACGAGAUCAGCAGUGACCUUCUGCACAGUUUCCAAAGCCUCGCCAACCUACCUCCGUGUCCUGGUCUGACUUAUGGCAGAAACAGAAGUUCAAAGACCUGGCUGAUAUGCUCCGUUAAAAACCCUUCCACAACGCAGUUAACAUUUUCUGUUUUCUGACUUUCUUUUUCUAAAGAGAUGCUUAAAGCAAAAAAGGUUUCCUGCCACAAAAAUGACAUUAAUAUUUCGUAAAUCAAGAACUAAGAUAAUGUUUUGGCUGCUACAGAGACGUUUACCUUAUGUCGUUUAUCUAAAUGCUUUUCGAUUAAAACAUGACACAAUUUUUGGACUGUUUUUUACCGGAAAAAACAAUUCCAAGAACUUUCUUAUUUCAGAGCCUAAAAUUCUUUAGUAUAUUCCUCAUCAGAAUUCACUGUGGAGUAUACAGCCUUUUAGCUCAUUCAGAAAGUCUUCCCAAAAAACAAGCCUUUGCCAAAGAUCAUUUGAGUGCACUAAAUCAAAUAAUCAACUAAAAGUCAAGAAGAAACCUUCAAAUGAAAACCAUAUAAAUAUGUUUGUAAACUUUCAAGUAACUGCAAUGUCAACAAUUGUAUUCCCCAAGAUACAAUUCUUUUCUAUAUUGACCUAUUAAAAAACUCGAUUCGUUCAAAGAACAGAUUUUUUUGUUUGUUUUAAAAAGAACAACAACAACAAAAGAAACCAAAACUUUAGAAAUCAAAGAAGCCCUCUUGAGUGAGCAUCUGCUGAAGGAGGUAUUAAAAUCACAAAAGUGGUUAUGGAUUUCAAACUUUUUUGCAAAUUUGAAAAAUAUAGGGAGGAAUAAAGUGUUAGAGGUGAUGCUGAUUUCCUAGUAUCAUAUACAAAUCUGUAUAGUACUUUUUUUCCCACAAAGUUGCUUAUAAUCAAACAUUUUAUCUCCAACCCUGUAUUAUCUCAUUUUAUUUAUGGUUAAUACCUUUUUCUUUUUCUUUUAGAACCGUAAGGGUUCUACCAAUUGAUUUUGACUUUGGGAAGGAAAAUACAUUUAUGAAGCAACAAUUUCAAAACAUCGAGGGGAAUAACAGUUACCAAAAGGUAGCAUUAAGAUUCUGCCAUAAACAAUUCCACAGCAAACAGAAGACUAAAAUUCAGGCCAAGCUGCUUCUCUGGAGAAUAGUGAAGAACAAUUUCUUUUCCGACUGUGUAUACCACAGAAGAACGGCCCACAUAGUUCCCAAGUCCUGGACUAAUAACUCUGAAAUGAGCUUUCAUCCGCAGAUGAGCCUCCUCAAAGGUUGCGAGAGGCUGAUGCUGGCUGAGGCUGGAGGAACAGGGCAGGAGGACAGGGUCUCGCAGCGAGUACACAAUGGUCUGUGUAAGGAAGAGUAGCUAGGAUUGCUAACCUUGUGUGUAUUAUGGCACAUCAUUAAUAACAAUGAUCAAAAGAAAGAGGAUGUCUUAACAGCUGCAUUAAAUUAUUAGGGAUACUGGCAUUUUAAAAUGAUUUCAGGGUGAGACAAUAACAAAAAAGCAGCUACAUAUAGAAUGGGUCACGUUAUAAGGCCAGAGAGUAAUUCUCAAAGGUAAAGCACUUGUGAUCAAACAGAGAUUCUUUUUUUCUUUCAUUUAUUUUUCCUUGCAUUUACCGAAUUUGUUGAAAGAUAUUCCUCACCAUACCACCUGAUUGAAGGAAGCUGCUUCAACAGCACUGUGUUCUCUGGAAGAUAUGGGAAAUAUGUAAUACAAAUAAAAAGUACAUAUGUUUAUAAGAACAAA